CAGCUUGCACGUUAGCCACUCAGAACCCCCAACAUUGACAAUCUUGGAUUUUUUAAAAAGAGAAAUUUAGUCUAAAUUUAUAAUUUAGAAAAAAUUUUUAAAGGAAUUUGGCAGUUUAACAGCAUCUGUGAAUAUUUUCCUUAUUUUAUGUAUGAGGGAACAAACAUGGAGAAGCCAAUGACUUUUCCAAGGACAUCUAGCAAGACACUUGCAGAGUGGCAAUGAAAUACUUGUUUGCUUCCAGGAUUAUUCAGUAGCAUUUUGAACACAUCAAGAAAUAACAAGAUGUAUUUAGUAGGUGCCUGGCAGACAUCCUAGAACUUUAAAAACAGAAGAGACCUGCUUUCCAGGGGAUGAUGCUAAGAGACACUGUGAAGUCUUGGAAUGAUAACCAGCCAGAUCUCUGUAGCAGUGACCAAGAAGAGGAAGAAGAGAUGGUUUUUGGUGAAAAUGAAGAUGACUUGGAAGAGAUGAUGGAUUUAAGUGACCUGCCUACCUCGCUUUUUGCUUGCAGUGUCCAUGAAGCAGUGUUUGAGGUGCAGGAGCAGAAGGAGAGAUUUGAAGCACUUUUCACCGUCUAUGAUGACCAGGUUACAUUUCAGUCAUUUAAAAGCUUUAGAAGAGUCCGAAUCAGUUUCAGCAAACCUGAAGCGGCAGCAAGAGCUCGGAUAGAACUCCACGAAACAGACUUCAACGGGCAGAAGCUGAAGCUGUAUUUCGCACAGAUGUCCAGUGAGACACGGGACAAAUCGUACUUACUGCCGCCGCAGCCUGCCAAACAGUUCCUCAUCUCGCCCCCAGCCUCCCCUCCAGUGGGGUGGAAGCAGAGUGAAGAUGCAAUGCCUAUGAUAAAUUAUGAUUUACUUUGUGCCGUUUCCAAGUUGGGACCAGGAGAGAAAUAUGAACUUCAUGCAGGAACUGAGUCGACACCAAGCGUGGUGGUUCACGUCUGUGAAAGUGAAACUGAAGAGGAAGAAGAAACAAAAAACCCCAAACAGAAAAUUACCCAGACGAGGCGCCCUGACCCUCCGACCACAGCACUGAGUGAGCCCCAGGCCUUCGAUUGUGCACUGUGAGGCCUUUGAUGGAGGUGCGAGGCAUCUGCCGUGGGCUUCAGCGGUGGAGACCUGGGCCCCGACCACUGCAGAUACAUUGCUGCUAAAUGUCCAGACUCAGCAGUGUGCUAGUUUCUGGUCUUACCUAGUCGCACCAGUUUAUCAUUGCAGAAUGGGGCACGUGUAUCAGGAAAUGUACGUAUUUUCAACAGUUGGGGAUUCUUUUAAUUUCCAUCAGGAAACGUUGAUUCACUAUGAUUUUCUAAGUGAUGAAAACCCGUAAUGUCUUACCUGGUUUGGCUUUCAUUUUCUACCUGCCAAUUGAGGAAUAUUGUAACCCUAAAAUAUAAAACCUUUUAUUUUAAUCAAACAGUGCAAAUUACCUGAUUUUUUAAAUCUAUUUUUGUUUGCUUGUUUUUUAAGAGUAUUGAAUUAAUUGGAGAAAAUUUUAAAUCAAAAUUUGAAAAAUACAUAUUGAGUUGUUUAAUAUUUUCCUUAUAGUAUAAUAUUUCCAUAUGGUGAACUCUAAAAGAAAAACUACUAAAUGCCCAUCAACUUUUUAAUAUUGUGGAAUCAACCAGAAUCUCAGCAGGUACUAUGGCCUCUAUCCUUUUUUGGCUACUUUAUGCCCAGUUCAUGUAACCAUAUAGCAAGAGAUGAGUCUCCGUGCAUUUUUUUUUUUUUUUCGUAAAUUCAUCUACUUUUUUUUCUUCUUUGAAAUUGAAUUAUUACUUGGAUUCAACUUGCAUCAUAUACUAACCAUGUUUUCCUUAGCAAUUAUAACCUUUUUUGGGGAAUCAAAUUAUUCAGUAAAUUGUGAGGAAAGAAAAUGAUGCUUUGCAUUAGGAAAAAACAUCUGUGAAAGAAAAGAAAACCAUGACAUUUAAUAAGGAUAGUUGACAGAAGCUGCAAUGUAUUGUCUUACGUUCUAGAUUCUUUAACAUACCCAGCUGAUGGAACAAGAUAAAUCAAUUUAAAAAGUGUACUGGUGAGCAUCCACUACAUUCAAGGUGCUGAGAGGCAGAAAUGGGUAAGAACAGUUCCCUUCUCUCGGACAGCUGAAAAUCAGGGGAAAAGCAAACUGGUCUUCUCCCAUUCUGCUUCUUUUCAGUGUUAUACACUAAAACUUGUCAGUGAUUAAGAGUUAAAAAAGACUAGGAACUUUUUAAGUUGUAGGUAAAGGUUUCAACAGAGCAUUGCAGUCGUUGUGGGAUGCUGGGAUUGAAGAGGUACCUGGAGGUAGAGGUCAGAUGCGGUACUUUGAUUCUUUAAGGACACAGUCUUGUUUGUUUCCCAUUCAUAUUCCAUCUUUUAAAAUGCCAUGAUAUAAAAUGAAAAGGUUUGGUUUUCUUAGAAUCUCAGUUACAGAGCUGAAGGCGACUUUAGAAAUUAUAUAAUCCAAUCCUUACGUUACACAGAUUAGAAAACUGAAGUUAUGUGACUCACUUAGUAGUCUGCAGCAAGGCAGCGGCAGCCUGGGGACUAGAGUUAGCAUUCCUAACUCCCGGGCUAGUGCUUUUCCUGCUUGUUCUUGCAUUGGCCUCUUAACCUUGAAAGCAUUGAAUACUAACUCCUAUCAUAAGAAAAAAAAUCCUCUUUCCCCUAAUAGGAUGUAAUGAAUAAGAAAAAUCUUACCUGAUGGAGGCAGUGACUUAGUCAUUUUAAUCAGUGAAUUUGGUGUUCCCUAUUUUGUGCUUCUGUUUUCAUUAAACCAUUGGAAUUGGAAUCUGUUUCAAUAAUGUUAUCUUGGUAGCCAGCAAAUGCAUUGACAUUCUGUGUAGGCUUUCUUAGAUUUUAAUAGUAAUGGGAUUAAAAUAUAAAUAAUCAUACUUAAAAUGUGACUCAGAAUGAGAUCUGAUAUAACUUGGGAAGAGUUUAUAGCCCUUGUAAAAUUGAGUCCUAUUAAAAAUUGAAGACUGAUCUAUGCUUCAUUCUUUUUUACAGAGUAUUUUACAGACCAUUGUUUUAAAGGGAAAAAACAUCUCCAACAUAAUUAAGCAAUGGAAAACAUACUAAAUUCUGUGGUGCAUGAGGUUUACUGUCUGCUGGGUUUUUCUCUUUUCCCCAGAGUUAUGUACCUUAUACCUAUCACACAGGUGAACUUGGCUAGUGUUUCCUUCUCCCUCUCAGCGUGCUCCUUUUUCACACUUCUUGCAUUUACAUCUUCCUGUGCUAAAGGAAACCAAUUACUUACAAUAAGUGUGACAGUGUAAAGGGACAAGAGACUUGGGGAAAUAUCUGUCUUCUAGUUGGGGAGAUAAAUCCAUGUUGUAGAAGUUAUACUUUUAAAAAGUUAAAUAAAUUUAAAGAUAAGAUUUAUGGUCCUGUUGGAUACUUGUUUGCUUUUUAAACUCACUUUGGAGUAAGAGUCAGCAGCCAUCUUUGUAGGAAUGCCAUUGUCUUCUUUAAUCGUGAAUCAAGAAAAAAAAUGUUAAUAAAUAGAGUAUUGUUGUUGUUGCCAAAUACAGAGGCAGCAGCAACUGAAAACUACAACAGCUAAUAGGUUCAUAGACCAAAAAGAUGGUAAAAAUGGUCGUGUUUAAAAUAGAAGCUACCAGCCAAGAUCAAGAAGAACUUACCUUGGGCUGAGUCAGAGGGUCUCUACCUGUUUAAACAAAGGCGACAGUUCGGACCUUUGACUAAAUUAGAUACGUGUUCUGUCUUGUAAACCUGUGUUUUCUUUCAAAACAAAAUCGUGUCCUGUUAAUUCUUGGAAUUCCUGCAGAACUUUAAACGUUCGUCCUUGUCAUAAUGGAAGAUUUACAGCUAUGCAGAUAAUACAUGUUGUCUUCCCACUUCCCGAGUCUUCCUACUUCAAAUGGGGGACUGAGGAGGAUAAAAGUGGCUAGUCUUGUUACUGUGCCAGACUCUUCCCAAUGUUUCUCAACCCCAAGUGGGAGUCAUAGUGAGUACUGAUUGACAUCCACCGUAUCGUACGUGUCCUCCAAGUUUAACAAGUUUCCUCAGCCAUUUCAUCUCAAUCUUAAUUGAACCCUGGAGUUGAAUUUAUUAUUUUAUCUGAACAUGUUUGUGGUCUUGUGUUAUAUUUUGGGGCCUUUUACCUUCCUGGUACUAUAAGCUGUAGUAAAUACUCAUGGUACUUCAGAAAACUGUCUGUAAUUUAUAUACAUGUAUUUCAUAUUUUAGUGUGCUGAAGUGGCAAUCCAUGAUUGUAGUCAUUUGUUAUUCGUCAGCUUUGACUACCCUGUGUUUCAAGGACAUUCCUUGCCCUAUUAAGGUGACAACAGCAGAAUGUAAUUUUUUGGAAGCUUUGUGAUUACUUGUAACAAGUUUUGUUUUUAAAACAUAAAAAUAAAAUUAGCCUGUUCUUUUUUAAAAUCAGUCCAUUGAUUUGUGUUCUUUGUGUAGUAUCUUCAAUAUGCGUCACUUAUAUUUAGGUAAUAACACAAAAAAGAAAAGGGAAAUGUUUGUUCCUUUAGUAAGAGUCCUGUGGAGCAUUAGUGCUACUGUGCCACAGUUCAAGGUGGUGAUUCCCUGCCGACUGGA